rnacentral:rRNA from 1 species
AACGAACGCUGGCGGCGUGCCUAAUACAUGCAAGUCGAACGUUAAAGUCCUUCGGGAUGAGUAAAGUGGCGCACGGGAGAGUAAUACAUCGGAACGUACCUUUUGGUGGGGGAUAACCACGGGAAACUGUGGCUAACACCGCAUAAUGACGUGAGUCUAAAGCAGGCCUCUAUUUAUAAGCUUGUGCCAAUAGAGCGGCCGAUGCCCCAUUAGCUAGUUGGUAGGGUAAUGGCCUACCAAGGCGACGAUGGGUAGCUGGUCUGAGAGGAUGAUCAGCCUCACUGGGACUGAGACACGGCCCAGACUCCUACGGGAGGCAGCAGUAGGGAAUUUUGCACAAUGGGCGCAAGCCUGAUGCAGCAACGCCGCGUGAGUGAAGAAGGCUCUUGGGUUGUAAAGCUCUUUCGGCCGGGAAGAAGGGUUUGCCUGCGAACAGCUUGCAAAUUUGACGGUACCGGAAGAAGAAGGACCUGCUAACUUCGUGCCAGCAGCCGCCGUAAAAC